UACAGAGGGUGCAAGCGUUAAUCGGAAUUACUGGGCGUAAAGCGUGCGUAGACGGUUACAUAAGUCAGGUGUGAAAGCCCCGGGCUCAACCUGGGAAUUGCAUUUGAGACUGUGUAGCUAGGGUGCGGAAGAGGGAAGCGGAAUUUCCGGUGUAGCGGUGAAAUGCGUAGAUAUCGGAAGGAACACCGGUGGCGAAAGCGGCGCGCUGGAUCUCUUCUGACGCUGAUGCGCGAAAGCCAGGGGAUCAAACGGG
rnacentral:rRNA from 1 species